rnacentral:rRNA from 1 species
CAUUACCGAAUUGUCAACAAGAGUUGUUGCUGGUCUUCAAAACGAGGGCAUGUGCACGCUCUGUUUACACAUCCACUCACACCUGUGCACUUUCUGUAGUUCUAUAGUUGGGGAGGCCCUGCCUUCCUUCUGUAGUCCUAUGUCCCUUCACACACACACACACUCGGUGAUAAGUCUCAUGGAAUGUAUGCUGCGUUUAACGCAAUACAAUACAACUUUCAGCAACGGAUCUCUUGGCUCUCGCAUCGAUGAAGAACGCAGCGAAAUGCGAUAAGUAAUGUGAAUUGCAGAAUUCAGUGAAUCAUCGAAUCUUUGAACGCACCUUGCGCCCUUUGGCUAUUCCGAAGGGCAUGCCUGUUUGAGUAUCAUAAACAUCUCAACUCUCACGGUUUUCCGUGAUGAGAUUGGACUUUGGGGGUCUUGUUGGCUUGUGUUCAGCUCCCCUCAAAUCUAUCAGCUUCCCAGUGUUUGGUGGCAUCACAGGUGUGAUAAAUAUCUACGCUUGUGGUUCUUUGCCAGGUCUGUCCUCUCCUUGUGGAGGGCUCACUGGAGCUCAUAGAUGUCUCUCCUUGGUGGAGACAGCUGUUUGAAGUUUGGUCUCAAAUCAGGUAGGAUUACCCGCUGAACUUAAGCAUAUCAAUA